ensembl:lncRNA
GGACAUAAAAAUAAAAAGAAGGGGGAGAAGAUGCCCUCCACACUCAUCAUCACCUCUAGGACUUUGCAGAGGUGGCAAUGUUGAUGAAAAUAAUCCACGACCAAUCUAUAAAUGACAAUUUGGGUGAGUUUAUUCUGAGCUAAAAUGUGAAGACCAUGGCCCGGGGCCUUUUUUCCUGAAGGAAGAAAGGGCACGGAAGAAGUGGGGUGUGCAGCGUGGUCAUAUACCCCCAAAGAGGAUGUUUCACACAGGAUUGAAAUGUCCCUUUUACAAUAGUCAUAAGACUGCUCUGUCGGCACAGCGAUUGAUGGACACAGCAGGGAGGUCUGCUCUCUCGGCAGACGCAGCAUGGUGGCAGGUCUGUUGUCUCGAGCUGGGUGGUCACAGGUGAGCUGGGUGGUCAAAGACUUUGGCUUCUGCUGGAGAUUGAUGUCUGUGCAUGAAGCUCAUGCCCAAAGAGAAAAGGGGCUGCGACAUGUUGGAGAACUGGUCCCAAUUCUUCACCCUUCUAUGUAUCCACACGCUAGCCAUGGCCUCCUUGUGGAUGGUGUAUACUUCUGCCCUGGCCUGGGACUUGUCCAUGUGAUUUGCUUCAGCCAAUGGCAUAUGAGUGGAAGUGGCAAUAUGCCAAUUCUGAGCCUAGAUCUACGAGACUUUGCCUGUUUUGGCUUGCUCUGUUAUGGAACAUUCCCCAGUUAGUCUGCUGGAAGGGAAAGGGCAACAGAAGUGCGAACCCACAGUGUGGACUAGAGCCAUUCUAGCUGCCGCAGCCUGAAUCAACCAGCCCACACACGACCAAGCCCAGCUGAGAUCAGCAGAGCCUGCCCAGGCGUCCUGCAGUUGUAUGAGAUAAAUAAUACGCACUGUUUUAAGCCACUUUGAUUCUCUGGUUCUUUGUUAUGCAGCAAUAGCUAAUCAAGACAAGCAGUUUCUAUCUCCCAGCUCUAGUUUGAAAAGUUCCAGGGAAGAGUGAUCUGACCUCACUUGUUUCAAAGGCCCAAAUCUGUCACCAGCCACUCAGAUAUCUUAAGAACAGGGUAACGGUGCUGGUUGUCACACAAAAGUGAGAACUUUCUACUCAGUAAUACACCUGUAUUUUUGUGUGUGUCGAAUUUAAAAUAUUCCAGUCAUCAAUCAUUUAAAACUAACAUAAAAAUUGAGAUUAGUUAAUACAGUAAAUAAUAAAACUAUGUGUAAUUAAAACUUCAUUAUGGCCAGAGAGCAUAGAAAAAGAAGAAGGAAAAGAAGAAGAUGCAAAACACAAUAUUUGCCCAAAAUCCAAGAAGGAGCAAUAUUUCCUUAGAUAAAAACAAUUAAAAAGUAUAUUUGAUAAUAAACAUAUUUUAAAAUCUAAGUAAGAAAGAAAUAAAAUUUUUGAAAAUAUCAUUUUACCCCAACUGAGAAAAAUAGAAACUGUUUUUCCCAGGGAAGUAAAGAAUAUUGUCUCUCAAUUCACAGGUAAAAAGGCUGCAUUUAAUAUCUUCUCUUUGCCAUCUGGCUACAAGCAUCAGCUCCUAGCAAGGGAUUAGCAUAAUCUGCUCUGGUGCCAAACGCAGAGGCCUAAGGUGGGAGGAAGAUAUAGAAGGAAUCUAGCUAGAAAAGUGAGGGAAAAGAGAAAGAAAUAGUAGGCUGGGAGCAGAGA